UCCUCGUUUAAGCGAGGCAGUCUGUCCAGAGUGCUUCGAACUCUCGUUCGAGUGGCAACAGGACAUAAGGGUUGCGCUCGUUGCGGGACUUAACCCAACAUCUCACGACACGAGCUGACGACAGCCAUGCAGCACCUCGACUGGACCCCCUUGCGGAGUAACCGUGUUUCCAGAGCUUUCCAGUGCAUGUCAAGCCUUGGUAAGGUUCUUCGCGUUGCGUCGAAUUAAACCACAUGCUCCACCGCUUGUGCGGGCCCCCGUCAAUUCCUUUGAGUUUCAGCCUUGCGGCCGUACUCCCCAGGCGGGGUACUUCCUGCGUUAGCGCCGGCACCCAAGGGGUCGCUCCCCCAGGCACCUAGUACCCAUCGUUUACGGCGUGGACUAC
rnacentral:misc_RNA from 1 species